CGCCUGGGGAGUACGGCCGCAAGGUUAAAACUCAAAUGAAUUGACGGGGGCCCGCACAAGCGGUGGAGCAUGUGGUUUAAUUCGACGCAACGCGAAGAACCUUACCUGGCCUUGACAUCCAGAGAGCUUUCCAGAGAUGGAUUGGUGCCUUCGGGAACUCUGAGACAGGUGCUGCAUGGCCGUCGUCAGCUCGUGUCGUGAGAUGUUGGGUUAAGUCCCGUAACGAGCGCAACCCCUAUCCCUGGUUGCUAGCAGGUAAUGCUGAGAACUCCAGGGAGACUGCCGGUGACAAACCGGAGGAAGGUGGGGAUGACGUCAGGUCAUCAUGGCCCUUACGGCCAGGGCUACACACGUGCUACAAUGGCGCGUACAGAGGGCUGCCAACUCGCGAGAGUGAGCCAAUCCCUUAAAACGCGUCGUAGUCCGGAUCGGAGUCUGCAACUCGACUCCGUGAAGUCGGAAUCGCUAGUAAUCGCGAAUCAGAAUGUCGCGGUGAAUACGUUCCCGGGCCUUGUACACACCGCCCGUCACACCAUGGGAGUGGAUUGCACCAGAAGUAGUUAGUCUAACCUUCGGGGAGGACGAUUACCACGGUGUGGUUCAUGACUGGGGGUGAAGUCGUAACAAGGUAACCGUA
rnacentral:rRNA from 1 species